UACGUAGGGCGCAAGCGUUGUCCGGAAUUAUUGGGCGUAAAGAGCUCGUAGGCAGUUUGUCGCGUCUGCUGUGAAAACCUAAGGCUCAACCUUGGGACUUGCAGUGGGUACGGGCAGACUAGAGUGCGGUAGGGGUGACUGGAAUUCCUGGUGUAGCGGUGGAAUGCGCAGAUAUCAGGAGGAACACCGAGUGGCGAAGGCAGGUCAC
rnacentral:rRNA from 1 species